GAUGUGGUUCACUGCAUUCUCCCAGGUGAAUGGUCUCCUCUAAAAGGAUGGGUGAUGUUGGCCUAUCCAGUGCACAGCACACUCAGAAUUACAAAUCUAAGGAUCUCCUGUAUCCCUGGCUGGCUUGCAACGCACAGAGAUUCUUCUGCCUCUGCCUCCCAAGUGCCAAGUGCUAGGAUUAAAGGCGUAUACCAUCAUACUCAGCCUGCAAAACUGUUCAUAAAAACAGUAUCUAACACCUUUCUGUUGCCAAACUGAAAUCCCAUCAACAGAUGUUACAGAUUAUUCCUGUAGAGAUACAUGGGAGUGAAACUCAGAACAAAUGAAGUUGUGCCAAGCCUAGACAGAAAGACAAUAGUGGAGUUGGGAUACGGAUGACUUUGGCUGUUGCAUGUGCUUAUGUUACCAAUACAAAUAGAUUCUAUGAUAAUAUGUCUAUGAAUAUGAGGAAUCCCCCUAUUGUAGAUAGAUGCCAGACAUGAUGAGUUUCAAUCAGGUUCCAGGAACUGGUUCUGCUUAUAUUCACGAUUGCUAUCUAGGAAAAAGUUAGAUUUUGUGGAAUGCAGGCGUUUGAAGUUGAGGUUUCCUUGUCUUGGCAUUGGCAGAACCAUUCUGGGACUUUCUUAGGCUAUGACGAAUUCUACCAUACAUAUCUUCCCUGUGAACUCUUCUGCUUGCUCUCUGGAUGUCCUCUCCUCUUGCGACAUGCUUGCAUCCUAACUACGAGUUUUGAGCUGCUCACACUGUGAAAUCAAAUGAGAUCACCACAAAGUGGCCCCAUGGAUGAAAGCCCUCUUUCCACAGAAACUCACUGGCACACCUGCUAAGGGAACUAUCCAAGAUUCUUCUUAAGAAAUGCAGUCUUCAAAACAGCAGGCCAGUGACGACCAAUGACAAUCCUGCUCAGUUAGAAUUCUCUGUAGGAAGCAUUGUUGGUAGUGUUGUGGCUCUAUAUAAUAAACAAAAGACUGUGAGUGUUACCUCAGUGUUAGUGCACUUAAAAUUAAAACUUUGAAUCAUGCUCUCUAAAUAAAGUUGGAGCUUUAUGUGAAAAUAUCAUCUUCAUUUUACAUUCCGGGCAGCUCUCCAAGCUCUGAGAGCUAAAAUGAGGACUCCUGGGCCUAGAUUGAGUGAACAUCCAAUUAGGAUCAAGCAAGAAAGACUUCAUGACCCACAGCAGCUGAGUUCUCAGAUUAAACAAAGACUAUCUUUCAAUGGCCUCCUUAUGCAGUAAGAAUUUACUGUUCAGAUCUUUCUACAAGAUAAAUCUUACUCUUUAGAUUCCUGGCCACUUAGAAUAGAGCAACCCAACCACUGAAGCCGUCUCUAUCACAUGAUGCUUGUGGGCAGAAGCCAACACUUCUAUUCUCCUCCAAGUUGGAUGCUACCCUCAAAUCUCAGCCAGCUGGGAAAACAUCCUGAUCUGGAGUUUGUCCAGGCUGUCCUGGGUGAGGAUUGAGGCACACAGCCACUGUCCCUGGUUUGUAACAUCUAACUCUCUGUGAGAUUGAAAGGUUUCAGUUCUUCAAAAUAAUAAAAUACCUUCAGUCACAAGGGACAGGUUUGUAGGGGAGGGGGAACAAAAACAUGCCACUGGUUGGAAGAAUUCCUUUUGGGAAAAAAUGUCACACAUACACCAAGGCAUCAGGACUUCCUGGCACCUUCCCCUCAGGGAUUCACAGAGAGGCAAUCAUUUUUAAAGGUGAAGAAGUGAGAUUUGCUCUCUGAGUUUGGUAUUUACCCACUGUGGCCAGGACACAAAGGCCUUUUAUCCUCUUCGGCAUGAAUUGUUUUAAAUGUGGAAGGUGGAUACCUACAAAAAAUAUGAAGUUCUGAAAAAAAAAAGAUCUGUUUUUCUGUUUCACAUAGCAGCCCCCAUAUGUACUUAGCGACCAAAGAGUAUGUAAGAAAGAAUUCAGUGGACCUUGGUUUUGGGGUAAAGAUUGUGGGUGGCAGCAUCAGCUGUGUCCCCCAUCCAAUGAAGUCUAAAAAGGGUCAGAAAUGUAGGAUAUUCCUGUAGCUUCUCCCAACAUGCUUUUUAAAAAGCUAAAAGC
rnacentral:lncRNA from 1 species